rfam:Ignavibacteria bacterium RIFOXYC2_FTLL_35_21 rifoxyc2_full_scaffold_4320, whole genome shotgun sequence.
GCGGAAUCUGAAAGAAGUCGGCGGCAAAGUCUCGGUCUGACGAACAGGAAGCGGAUAAGAGGCAGUCGUAAGUGGGCAAGUGUGCUAAACAAGACGAAGCCCAAAACUAUCCGAAACUUGCGAAUGUAAAUCCGACAGAUAUAUGAGACGAAAGUGAUAGUU